GCUGGUCCAAACUUUCAACAGGGGAGCAAACCAGAACCAAGAUGGCAUGAGUAGCAGCCAACAAAAUUUUGGCCAGCAAGUUAUUGAGCAGAUGGAAGGGCUUUUGGUGCCUAGGCAUACCAAACUCGCCUUCCCUUCAUUUGAUGGUUCUGAAGCGCUUAGGUGGCUUAACUGUUGUGAACAAUUCCAUAAUCAACGUACCGCAGAGGUGGAUAAAGUUAGUCUAGUUGCUUUUCAUAUGAG
rnacentral:misc_RNA from 1 species